rnacentral:rRNA from 1 species
ACAACGGGUGGAGCCUGCGGUUUAAUUGGACUCAACGCCGGGCAGCUCACCGGAUAAGACAGCUGGAUGAUAGCCGGGCUGAAGACUCUGCUUGACUAGCUGAGAGGAGGUGCGUGGCCGUCGUCAGUUCGUACUGUGAAGCAUCCUGUUAAGUCAGGCAACGAGCGAGACCCACGCCAACAGUUGCCAGCAUGUCCUCCGGGAUGAUGGGGACACUGUUGGGACCGCCUCUGCUAAAGAGGAGGAAGGAAUGGGCAACGGUAGGUCAGCAUGCCCCGAAUUAUCUGGGCUACACGCGGGCUACAAUGGGUGGGACAAUGGGUAUCGACACCGAAAGGUGAAGGCAAUCUCCUAAACCCAUCCGUAGUUCGGAUUGUGGGCUGCAACUCGCCCACAUGAAGCUGGAAUCUGUAGUAAUCGUGUCUCAAAAUGGCACGGUGAAUAUGUCCCUGCUCCUU